UACGGGGGGAGCAAGCGUUGUUCGGAUUUACUGGGCGUAAAGGGCGCGUAGGCGGCGCAACAAGUCACUUGUGAAAUCUCCGGGCUUAACCCGGAGCGGCCAAGUGAUACUGUCGUGCUAGAGUGCGGAAGGGGCUACUGGAAUUCUCGGUGUAGCGGUGAAAUGCGUAGAUAUCGAGAGGAACACCUGCGGCGAAGGCGGGUAGCUGGGCCGACACUGACGCUGAGACGCGAAAGCCAGGGGAUCGAACGGG
rnacentral:rRNA from 1 species